GAUGAACGCUGGCGGCGUGCCUAAUACAUGCAAGUCGAGCGAACAGAUGAGGAGCUUGCUCCUCUGACGUUAGCGGCGGACGGGUGAGUAACACGUGGAUAACCUACCUAUAAGACUGGGAUAACUUCGGGAAACCGGAGCUAAUACCGGAUAAUAUAUUGAACUGCAUGGUUCAAUAGUGAAAGACGGUUUUGCUGUCACUUAUAGAUGGAUCCGCGCCGCAUUAGCUAGUUGGUAAGGUAACGGCUUACCAAGGCAACGAUGCGUAGCCGACCUGAGAGGGUGAUCGGCCACACUGGAACUGAGACACGGUCCAGACUCCUACGGGAGGCAGCAGUAGGGAAUCUUCCGCAAUGGGCGAAAGCCUGACGGAGCAACGCCGCGUGAGUGAUGAAGGUCUUCGGAUCGUAAAACUAUGUUAUUAGGGAAGAACAAAUGUGUAAGUAACUAUGCACGUCUUGACGGUACCUAAUCAGAAAGCCACGGCUAACUACGUG
rnacentral:rRNA from 1 species